GGGCUAAUUUCGGGUGUCACCGGACAUUUUACACUCCCGCAUGAUAAAGUGAUAAUCGAGAUUUCAUUAUCCGUCAUUUACAUAUUUUUUUUAUUUUGCUGUAAAAUUAAUUAGAAUUAAAUUCUGAGAGAUUUACCGAUAUUUUCGGUGAAAAAUUAGGUUAGGUUAGGUUAGGCACUGAGUUUUUCGUGUUCGAUAUAAGGGACCUUGAAAAGUUAUAGUCCGAUCACGACAAUUUUUCCACAAGGGAUACCUCAGCUCAAAUACCGUAUUUGUGUAAAGUUUUAUUCCGCUAUCAUCAUUGGUUUCUAAUGUAUAUAUUAUACAGAGAAGGCAUCAGAUGGAAUUCAAAAUAGCGUUAUAUGGGAAGAAGGCGUGGUUUUGAACCGAUUUCACCCAUAUUUCGUACAUGUCAUCAGGGUGUUAAGAAAAUAUUAUAUACCGAGUUUCAUUGAAAUCGGUCGAGCGGUUCCUGAGAUAUGCUUUUUGAUCCAUAAGUGGGCGACGCCACGCCCAUUUUCAAUUUUUAAAAAAAUUCUGGGUGCAGCUUCCUUCUGCCAUUUUUUCCGUAAAAUUUUGUGUUUCUGACGUUUUUUGUUAGUCGGUUAACGCACUUUUAGUGAUUUUCAACAUAACCUUUGUAUGGGAGGUGGGCGUGGUUAUUAUCCGAUUUCUUCCAUUUUUAAACUGUAUAUGGAAAUGCCUAGAGGAAACGAUUCUGUAGAGUUUGGUUGACAUAGCUGUAGUAGUUUCCGAGAUAUGUACAAAAAACUUAGUAGGGGGCGGGGCCACGCCCACUUUUCCAAAAAAACUACGUCCAAAUAUGCCCCUCCCUAAUGCGAUCCUAUGUGCCAAAUUUCACUUUAAUAUCUUUAUCUAUGGCUUAGUUAUGACACUUU